CGUUGAAACACCGGUUUCCGUACGAUCACUAAAGUUAAGCAACGUCGAACUUGAUCAGUAACUAGAUAGGUGACGGCUUGGAAAUACCAGUUGUUGUAA